rnacentral:rRNA from 1 species
ACGCAGUAACGGGCUUGCUCGUUAUUGAGUGGCGGAAGGGUUAGUAAUACAUGGGUAACCUGCCUUUGACCUGGGGAUAACAGUUGGAAACGACUGCUAAUACCGAAUGAGGUGUUUGGAAGCAAUUCCGUAACAUCAAAGUGGAGGAUCGCAAGACCUUGCGGUCAAAGAGGGGCCCAUGGGAUAUCAGCUAGUUGGAGUGGUAAUGGCACACCAAGG